rnacentral:rRNA from 1 species
GAUGAACGCUGGCGGCGUGCUUAACACAUGCAAGUCGAACGGAAAGGCUCCUGCUUGCAGGGGUACUCGAGUGGCGAACGGGUGAGUAACACGUGGGUGAUCUGCCCUGCACUUCGGGAUAAGCCUGGGAAACUGGGUCUAAUACCGGAUAGGACGAUGGUUUGGAUGCCAUUGUGGAAAGUUUUUCGGUGUGGGUUGAGCUCGCGGCCUAUCAGCUUGUUGGUGGGGUAAUGGCCGACCAGGGCGUCGACGGGUAGCCGGCCUGAGAGGGUGUACGGCCACAUUGGGACUGAGAGACGGCCCAGACUCCUACGGGAGGCAGCAGUGGGGAAUAUUGCACAAUGGGCGCAAGCCUGGUGCAGCGAGGCCGCGUGGGGGAUGACGGCCUUCGGGUUGUAAACUCCUUUCGCUAGGGACGAAGCGUUUUGUGACGGUACCUGGAGAAGAAGCACCGGCUAACUACGUG